CAGCCGCCACGGUAAUACAGAGGGUGCAAGCGUUAAUCGGAUUUACUGGGCGUAAAGGGCGCGUAGGUGGUUAUUUAAGUGAGAUGUGAAAGCCCCGAGCUUAACUUGGGAACUGCAUUUGAAACUGGCAAGCUAGAGUCUUGUAGAGGGGGGUAGAAUUCCAGGUGUAGCGGUGAAAUGCGUAGAGAUCUGGAGGAAUACCGGUGGCGAAGGCGGCCCCCUGGACAAAGACUGACGCUCAGGUGCGAAAGCGUGGGGAGCAAACAGGAUUAGAUACCCGUGUAGUCCCUGUCUCUUAUAC
rnacentral:rRNA from 1 species